CAAUAAGAUUGGAGAAGGGGGUUUUGGUUCUGUUUACAAGGGCCUUCUAUCAGAUGGCACCGUAAUUGCUGUCAAGCAGCUUUCUUCCAAAUCAAAGCAAGGGAAUCGUGAAUUUGUGAAUGAGAUAGGCAUGAUUUCUGCUCUGCAACACCCUCAUCUUGUCAAGCUUCACGGAUGCUGUAUU